rnacentral:pre_miRNA from 1 species
UGGACGAAGACAGAGAAGUGGAGUAUGACCAUGUAUCAUUGUAGUGAGGAUGUACCUCCAGCGAGGGAGAGCAAGAGUUUGAGUGCCUGAGCCAAGUCAGGACAUGCCAGAGCCUAGUGAGCAGAGAGUCUCACAUGUCCCUGCUAGACAUAUGAGGAUGUUCAUACAGAAGAAGCUACCAUCUUUGUCUCUUGACCUAUACCU